GAUGAACGCUAGCUACAGGCUUAACACAUGCAAGUCGAGGGGUAACGAGAGGAAAGCUCGCUUUCCUUGUCGACGACCGGCGCACGGGUGAGUAACGCGUAUCCAACCUGCCCCCAACUAGGGAAUAACCUUGCGAAAGUAAGACUAAUACCCUAUAAUUUCCUCAGAUGUCAUCUGACGAGGAAUAAAGAUUUAUCGGUUGUGGAUGGGGAUGCGUCUGAUUAGCUUGUUGGCGGGGUAACGGCCCACCAAGGCAACGAUCAGUAGGGGUUCUGAGAGGAAGGUGCCCCAGAUUGGAACUGAGACACGGUCCAAACUCCUAAGGGAGGCAGCAGUGAGGAAUAUUGGUCAAUGGGCGGAAGCCUGAACCAGCCAAGUAGCGUGCAGGAUGACGGCCCUAUGGGUUGUAAACUGCUUUUAUACAGGAAUAAAGUUAGCCACGUGUGGUUAUUUGUAGGUACUGUAUGAAUAAGGACCGGCUAAUUCCGUGCCAGCCGCCGCCGUAA
rnacentral:rRNA from 1 species